AUACGGAGGAUCCGAGCGUUAUCCGGAUUUAUUGGGUUUAAAGGGUGCGCAGGCGGCCAUUUAAGUCAGCGGUUAAAUCGUGGGGCUCAACCCCAUUCUGCCGUUGAUACUGGGUGGCUUGAUUGCGGUCGAGGUUGGCGGAAUUCGUUGUGUAGCGGUGAAAUGCAUAGAUAUGACGAAGAACACCGAUUGCGUAGGCAGCUGACCAGACCGCAAACGACGCUCAUGCACGAAAGUGCGGGGAUCGAACAGGAUUAGAUACCCUGGUAGUCCGCACAGUAAACGAUGAAUACUUGUUUUCGGCGAUAUAAUGUCGGAGGCAAAGCGAAAGCGAUAAGUAUUCCACCUGGGGAGUACGCCGGCAACGGUGAAACUCAAAUGAAUUGACGGGG
rnacentral:rRNA from 1 species